AUUGAACGCUGGCGGCAUGCUUUACACAUGCAAGUCGAACGGCAGCGCGGGCUUCGGCCUGGCGGCGAGUGGCGAACGGGUGAGUAAUGCAUCGGAACGUGCCCAGUAGUGGGGGAUAGCCCGGCGAAAGCCGGAUUAAUACCGCAUACGACCUGAGGGUGAAAGCGGGGGACCGAAAGGCCUCGCGCUAUUGGAGCGGCCGAUGUCGGAUUAGCUAGUUGGUGGGGUAAAGGCUUACCAAGGCGACUAUCCGUAGCUGGUCUGAGAGGACGACCAGCCACACUGGGACUGAGACACGGCCCAGACUCCUACGGGAGGCAGCAGUGGGGAAUUUUGGACAAUGGGGGCAACCCUGAUCCAGCCAUGCCGCGUGCGGGAAGAAGGCCUUCGGGUUGUAAACCGCUUUUGUUCGGGAAGAAAUCCUCUGGGCUAAUACCCCGGGGGGAUGACGGUACCGGAAGAAUAAGCACCGGCUAACUACGU
rnacentral:rRNA from 1 species